rnacentral:rRNA from 1 species
AUUGAACGCUGGCGGCAGGCCUAACACAUGCAAGUCGAACGAGUGGCGGACGGGAGAGGAAUGUCUGGGAAACUGCCUGAUGGAGGGGGAUAACUACUGGAAACAGUAGCGAAUACCGCAUACCAUCGGAUGUGCCAAGAUGGGAUUGGCUAGUAGGUGGGGUAAAGGCUCACCUAGGCGACGAUCCCUAGCUGGUCUGAGAGGAUGACCAGCCAAACUGGAACUGAGACACGCUCCCGACUCCUACGGGAGGCAGCAGUGGGGAAUAUUGCACAAUGGGCGCAAGCCUGAUGCAGCCAUGCCGCGUGUAGGAAGAAGGCCUUCGGGUUGUAAAGUACUUUCAGCGGGGAGGCGUUACCCGCAUAAGAAGCACCGGCUAACUCCGUGCCAGCAGCCGCGGUAAUUC